UGCAAGUCGAGCGGUAACAGAAAGUAGCUUGCUACUUUGCUGACGAGCGGCGGACGGGUGAGUAAUGCUUGGGAACAUGCCUUGAGGUGGGGGACAACAGUUGGAAACGACUGCUAAUACCGCAUAAUGUCUACGGACCAAAGGGGGCUUCGGCUCUCGCCUUUAGAUUGGCCCAAGUGGGAUUAGCUAGUUGGUGAGGUAAUGGCUCACCAAGGCGACGAUCCCUAGCUGGUUUGAGAGGAUGAUCAGCCACACUGGGACUGAGACACGGCCCAGACUCCUACGGGAGGCAGCAGUGGGGAAUAUUGCACAAUGGGCGCAAGCCUGAUGCAGCCAUGCCGCGUGUGUGAAGAAGGCCUUCGGGUUGUAAAGCACUUUCAGUCAGGAGGAAAGGUUAGUAGUUAAUACCUAUUAGCUGUGACGUUACUGACAGAAGAAGCACCGGCUAACUCCGUGCCAGCAGCCGCGGUAAUACGGAGGGUGCGAGCGUUAAUCGGAAUUACUGGGCGUAAAGCGUACGCAGGCGGUUUGUUAAGCGAGAUGUGAAAGCCCCGGGCUCAACCUGGGAACUGCAUUUCGAACUGGCAAACUAGAGUGUGAUAGAGGGUGGUAGAAUUUCAGGUGUAGCGGUGAAAUGCGUAGAGAUCUGAAGGAAUACCGAUGGCGAAGGCAGCCACCUGGGUCAACACUGACGCUCAUGUACGAAAGCGUGGGGAGCAAACGGGAUUAGAUACCCCGGUAGUCCACGCCGUAAACGAUGUCUACUAGAAGCUCGGAGCCUCGGUUCUGUUUUUCAAAGCUAACGCAUUAAGUAGACC
rnacentral:rRNA from 1 species